GGUCUUAUGGCACAAUUGGUCAGCGCGUGGUGCUAAUAGUCGAAUGUUAACGCCAAGGUUGUAGGUUCGAGCCCUACUAAGACCA